GGAGAGGUGGCUGAGCGGUCCAAAGCGAAGGUUUGCUAAACCUUUGAGUCCAAAAGACUCACGUGGGUUCGAAUCCCACCCUCUCCG
rnacentral:tRNA from 1 species